rnacentral:lncRNA from 1 species
AGUAACAUUAAUACUACAAAAACAAUGGUAAUGUGCUAAUGAGAUUAGUGUUUAGCCAAAAAGGUUGAGAACUUGAGAUUAACUUGAUAACGUUAGAUCUAGCCCAAUGGUACCUUGUUUUAGUUAUAAAAGUGGCACAACCACUUGAACUACAUGUAUCAAUGGUAAUUAGUGUAUCAUAGUCAUACGUAUGAUUGUAAGCAAAGUUUGCUAUCUCAAUAUCGGACCUCAUACAGGUAAUGUCUAUUAUAAUGCUAGUUCAUCAUACGAUAUAAGAUGAUGAGACGUAUCAAGUGUCAAUACCAAGAUCUACAAAACCAGAAUCGGGACCCUCGGAUCGAAUCGGCACGAACCAACACAAAAGAAAAGGAAAAAGAGAAUUUGGGAGGAGG